rnacentral:rRNA from 1 species
AACAGCUCACUGGUCUAGUGGUUCCGCGCCGACAAUGUAGCGGGGCUCAAGCACACCACCGAAGACGCGGCAGCGGCCGUAUGGCCGUUGGGUAGGAGAGCGUCCCGCGUGGGGCGAAGCGGCCGGGGAACCGUGCCGUGGACCGCGCGGGAGUGAGAAUGCAGACAUGAGUAGCGAGAGACGGGUGAGGAUCCCGUCCGCUGGAUGACCAAGGGUUCCGGGGCCACGUUCGUCGUCCCCGGGUGAGUCGGGUCCUAAGGCGAGGCCGACAGGCGUAGUCGAAUGGAUGAACGGGUGGAUAUUCCCGUACCGGCGGCGUACCGUAAGAGCCGAACGGAUGAGUACUAACCUCCGGUCGCGUGGCGUCGUUCCCUUCGGGGUUCGGGGCGCGUGGCUGUUGGGAGCGUAGUCCUGGUAGGCUAGCGCACAGGGGUGACACGGAAUGGGAGCCGGCCGCGGAGGUGGUUUUCCGUGGUCAAGCACGCAGCCCGUCCCAUAGGCAAAUCCGUGGGACGCAUAGGGUGAGGUGUGAUGAUGGGCGUCCUUUGGACGCGAUAUCCGGUGGUCCAGGCCGUCGAGAAAAGCCUCGGCGCGAGGGGCGUCGCCGCCCGUACCCCAAACCGACACUGGUGGUCAGGUAGAGAAUACCAAGGCGAUCGAGCGAAUCCUGGUCAAGGAACUCGGCAAAUCACUCCCGUGCCUUCGGUAUAAGGGAGACCCCCGGGCGUGAAGAGGCUUGCCCUCGGAGCGUUGGGGGGUGGCACAGACCAGGGGGUAGCGACUGUUUACCAAAAACACAGGUGCAUGCGAAGGCGCAAGCCGCUGUAUAUGCACUGACGCCUGCCCGGUGCCGGAAGGUUAAGAGGAUCCGUCAGCCCCUUUUGGGGUGAAGCGGUGAAUUCAAGCCCCGGUAAACGGCGGUGGUAACUAUAACCAUCCUAAGGUAGCGAAAUUCCUUGUCGGGUAAGUUCCGACCUGCACGAAUGGCGUAACGACUUCCCCACUGUCUCGACCAGGAGCUCGGCGAAAUUGCAGUACGAGUAAAGAUGCUCGUUAAGCGCAGAAGGACGAAAAGACCCCGGGACCUUUACUAUACCUUGGUAUUGGCAUUAGGCGCGGAUUGUGUAGCAUAGGCGGGAGGCUUCGAAGCGUGGGCGCCAGCCCGUGUGGAGCCGCAAGGUGAAAUACCGCUCUGUUCUCGUUUGAUGUCUAACCUCGAACAGUCAUCCUGUUCAGGGACAGUGCCUGGCGGGUAGUUUAACUGGGGCGGUUGCCUCCCAAAGAGUAACGGAGGCGCUCAAAGGUCCGCUCAGCCCGGUUGGCAAUCGGGUUUCGAGUGUAAUCGCACAAGCGGGCUUGACUGCGAGAACGACGGUUCGGGCAGGGACGAAAGUCGGAGAUAGUGAUCCGGUGCCGGCGCACGGGCGCGGCAUCGCUCAACGGAUAAAAGGUACCCCGGGGAUAACAGGCUGAUCAUUCCCAAGAGUCCAUAUCGACGGGAUGGUUUGGCACCUCGAUGUCGGCUCGUCGCAUCCUGGGGCUGGAGCAGGUCCCAAGGGUUCGGCUGUUCGCCGAUUAAAGCGGCACGCGAGCUGGGUUCAGAACGUCGUGAGACAGUUUGGUCUCUAUCCUCUGCGCUCGUUGGAAUCCUGAGGAGGCCUGCCCAUAGUACGAGAGGACCUGGGUGGACGGACCUCUGGUAUGCCGGUUGUCGCGCCAGCGGCAUGGCCGGUUGGCUACGUUCGGGAGGGAUAACCGCUGAAAGCAUCUAAGCGGGAAGCCUGCUCCAAGAUUAGGAUUCCUUGACGCUCCCCGGAGCGCCUGUAGCCCGCAUGUUGAACACGUGUUCGAUAGGCCGGAGGUGGAAGCCCCGCGAGGGGUGGAGCCGACCGGUACUAACGGGCGAACGCGGCACAC